AAUCUCAUCCCAUCGGGUUUCCGAUGAGGUUGGACUUGGGUGUUGCCGUCUGGCUCGCCUUAAAGGAGUUAGCGAUCUACAGUUUGAUCUGGCGUAAUAAGUUUCGCUGGCGACGACUUGACGACCGCUUCUAAUCGUCUUCUGACAUUUUUUG
rnacentral:misc_RNA from 1 species